rnacentral:rRNA from 1 species
AUUGAACGCUGGCGGCAGGCCUAACACAUGCAAGUCGAGCGAGCGGCGGACGGGUGAGUAAUGUAUGGGGAUCUGCCCGAUAGAGGGGGAUAACUACUGGAAACGGUGGCUAAUACCGCAUACUAUCGGAUGAACCCAUAUGGGAUUAGCUAGUAGGUGGGGUAAAGGCUCACCUAGGCGACGAUGCCUAGCUGGUCUGAGAGGAUGAUCGGCCACACUGGGACUGAGACACGGCCCAGACUCCUACGGGAGGCAGCAGUGGGGAAUAUUGCGCAAUGGGGGCAAGCCUGAUGCAGCCAUGCCGCGUGUAUGAAGAAGGCCUUCGGGUUGUAAAGUACUGUCAGCGGGGAGGCGUUACUCGCAGAAGAAGCACCGGCUAACUCCGUGCCAGCAGCCGCGGUAAUAC